UACGUAGGGUGCAAGCGUUGUCCGGAAUUAUUGGGCGUAAAGAGCUCGUAGGCGGUUUGUCGCGUCGAAUGUGAAAACCCGGGGCUCAACCCCGGGCCUGCAUUCGAUACGGGCAGACUAGAGUUCGGUAGGGGAGUCUGGAAUUCCUGGUGUAGCGGUGAAAUGCGCAGAUAUCAGGAGGAACACCGGUGGCGAAGGCGGUUCUCUGGGCAUUACCUGACGCUGAGGAGCGAAAGUGUGGGGAGCGAACGGG
rnacentral:rRNA from 1 species